rnacentral:rRNA from 1 species
UACGUAGGGCGCAAGCGUUGUCCGGAAUUAUUGGGCGUAAAGAGCUCGUGGGCGGUCUGUCGCGUCCGUUGUGAAAACUCGAGGCUCAACUUCGGGCUUGCAGUGGAUACGGGCAGACUAGAGUGCGGUAGGGGGAGACUGGAAUUCCUGGUGUAGCGGUGGAAUGCGCAGAUAUCAGGAGGAACACCGAUGGCGAAGGCAGAUCUCUGGGCCGUAACUGACGCUGAGGAGCGAAAGCAUGGGGAGCGAACAGG